UAUGCCUAGCCGUAAACCUUGAUAGAAAUAUACAAUUGAUAUCCGCCAGGGAACUACAAGCGCCAGCUUAAAACCCAAAGGACUUGGCGGUGCCUCAGACCCACCUAGAGGAGCCUGUUCUAGAACCGAUAACCCCCGUUCAACCUCACCACCCCUUGUUUUACCCGCCUAUAUACCACCGUCGUCAGCUUACCCUGUGAAGGCCCCAUAGUAAGCAAAAUGGGCAAAACCCAAAACGUCAGGUCGAGGUGUAGCGCAUGAGGUGGGAAGAAAUGGGCUACAUUCUCUAAAUUAGAGCACUACGAACCACGCUGUGAAAUCAGCGUCCGAAGGUGGAUUUAGCAGUAAACAGAAAACAGAGAGUUCUCUUGAAACUGGCUCUGAGGCGCGCACACACCGCCCGUCACUCUCCCCAAGUUCAACCUGUCCUUCUAACUAAGAAGUUAACCGAACAAAGGGGAGGCAAGUCGUAACAUGGUAAGUG
rnacentral:rRNA from 1 species